rnacentral:rRNA from 1 species
UACGGAGGGAGCUAGCGUUAUUCGGAAUCACUGGGCUUAAAGCGCGUGUAGGCGGGCCGGCACGUCGGUCGCUGAAAGCCCCCGGCUCAACCGGGGAACGGGCGCCGAUACGACCGCCCUGGAGGGACGUAGGGGGACCUGGAACACCCGGUGGAGCGGUGAAAUGCGUUGAGAUCGGAUGGAACGCCCGUGGCGAAAGCGAGGUCCUGGACGUUUUCUGACGCUGAGACGCGAAAGCCAGGGGAGCGAACGGG